rnacentral:rRNA from 1 species
CCCGCUGAACUUAAGCAUAUCAAUAAGCGGAGGAAAAGAAACUAACAAGGAUUCCCCUAGUAACUGCGAGUGAAGCGGGAAAAGCUCAAAUUUAAAAUCUGGCGGCUGUUCUUGGUCGCUCGAGUUGUAAUCUAGAGAAGUGCUUUCCGCGCUGGACCGUGUACAAGUCUCUUGGAAUGGAGCGUCGUAGAGGGUGACAAUCCCGUCUUUGACACGGACAACCAGGGCUUCUGUGAUGCGCUCUCGAAGAGUCGAGUUGUUUGGGAAUGCAGCUCAAAAUGGGUGGUAAAUUCCAUCUAAAGCUAAAUAUGGGCGAGAGACCGAUAGCGAACAAGUACCGUGAGGGAAAGAUGAAAAGAACUUUGAAAAGAGAGUUAAACAGUACGUGAAAUUGUUGAAAGGGAAACGAUUCAAGUCAGUCGCGUUGGCCAGUAAUCCACCCUUGCGAUUCGUUGCGGGGGCUUAUUUUCUGGUUGACGGGUCAGCAUCAAUUUCGACCGUUAGAUAAAGUCAUGGGGAAUGUGGCAUCUUCGGAUGUGUUAUAGCCCUGGGUCGCAUAUGACGGUUGGGAUUGAGGAACUCAGCACGCCGAAAGGUCGGGGCAUUGCCCACGUAAACGUGCUUCGGAUGUUGGCAUAAUGGCUUGAACCGACCCGUCUUGAAACACGG